CCCGCAACGAGCGCAACCCUUAUCCUUUGUUGCCAGCGGUCCGGCCGGGAACUCAAAGGAGACUGCCAGUGAUAAACUGGAGGAAGGUGGGGAUGACGUCAAGUCAUCAUGGCCCUUACGACCAGGGCUACACACGUGCUACAAUGGCGCAUACAAAGAGAAGCGACCUCGCGAGAGUAAGCGGACCUCAUAAAGUGCGUCGUAGUCCGGAUUGGAGUCUGCAACUCGACUCCAUGAAGUCGGAAUCGCUAGUAAUC
rnacentral:rRNA from 1 species